rnacentral:rRNA from 1 species
AGAGUUUGAUCCUGGCUCAGAACGAACGCUGGCGGCAUGCCUAACACAUGCAAGUCGAACGAGACCUCACCUUCGGGUGAACGUCUAGUGGCGCACGGGUGCGUAACGCGUGGGAAUCUGCCCUUCGGUUCGGAACAACAGUUAGAAAUGACUGCUAAUACCGGAUGAUGACGUAAGUCCAAAGAUUUAUCGCCGAAGGAUGAGCCCGCGUAGGAUUAGCUAGUUGGUAAGGUAAAAGCUUACCAAGGCGACGAUCCUUAGCUGGUCUGAGAGGAUGAUCAGCCACACUGGGACUGAGACACGGCCCAGACUCCUACGGGAGGCAGCAGUGGGGAAUAUUGGACAAUGGGCGAAAGCCUGAUCCAGCAAUGCCGCGUGAGUGAUGAAGGCCUUAGGGUUGUAAAGCUCUUUUACCAGGGAUGAUAAUGACAGUACCUGAGAAUA